GAUGAACGCUGACAGAAUGCUUAACACAUGCAAGUCGAUGGGGAAGUGGUGCUUGCACCAUGGCAACCAUGGCGGCCGGGUGAGUAACGCGUAAGGGACUUACCUGCAGGACUGGGAUAACAGGGGGAAACUCCUGACAAGACCGGAUAAUGUCAUGGAGCUGCAUGGCUUUAUGAUGAAAGGAGACGCCUGCGGAGAGCCUUGCGUCCUAUUAGCUAGUUGGUGAGGUAAUGGCUCACCAAGGCGAAGAUAGGUAGCCGGCCUGAGAGGGUGGACGGCCACAAGGGGACUGAGAUACGGCACUUACUCCUACGGGAGGCAGCAGUGGGGAAUAUUGGACAAUGGGGGCAACCCUGAUCCAGCAAUUCUGUGUGCACGAAGAAGGUUUUCGGAUUGUAAAGUGCUUUCAGCAGGGAAGAAGUAAGUGACGGUACCUGCAGAAGAAGCGACGGCUAAAUACGUG
rnacentral:rRNA from 1 species